UCUCAGACAAGCCGCUCGGCUCGGGUCCUGUGUUUGCUGCAUGAGGAGUUCUUUUAAAAAUAAAACAAGGAUUGUGAUUUCCCAGGAGAGACAGCAUGGGGUCCAUUAGCUCUGACGGACGAGCAUUCCCGAGGCCAGGCGAAGACGGCAACUGUUUGGCGCGCUCAGACUCCGAUAGUAAAAGGUGUUUCCAACCAUUGACAAAGCAACAGGACCUGGAAAUGUCUGUCAAUUCAUAACUUCGCAUUAUCUGCCGUUGGCUCCCUGAUAUAGCACAACCUCAAAGAAUAUGGGAUCUAUAAAGGCCACUCAAACCAACUAUUAGCUAUCCAAGAAAGCCUGCCGGCACGCCUUUUCAAACAUUUCCUCAAUUCCAAAAAAGUUAUCCAGAUGUGUGUGUGUCUUAAUAGGAUCCUUUAUACAUGUUAAAGGAUGCUUUGACAUCCUUGAAUUAAUUUCUCUGUUCACCUCAUAUUGUUUUAUUAAAAAAAUUUGCAAAAUUUUUCUUAGCACAUUGGUUGUUCGCCUGUCUUUAAGUAUAGUUUUUUCAUAAAUUUUACUGUUUAGUUUCCUGUAAAUGCCUGCAAGGUAGUAGCUGUUGGCAUAUA